UAGUCCACUACUAGAGGCUUACUUGGCCAAAUGUUGAUUUGCAAUUAUGUAAAACACAAUCGUCCAUACAUGCCUCGCGAGCUAGCUGGACUAGGACAACCUCAACUUUCUACUACAGGAUCAACACCUGUCAGCAGACUAGGAUGCAAGUACAGCCCACCAGGCAGACUACCCCUCUCUGCAACCCCCGCAGGUUAAUAACCCAGGAUGCAGCCACCCCAC